AGUGCACCCAUGGACAUGUAGUGGAAUCCUUUUUCUUUUGGGUAAAGAUAUGUGUCCAGGGAUGUGGAGAAGUACAAGCACACAGAGCCUACCACUGUUAUCUGAGCACUUCCCAUCACAGCCAUGCAACAAGUGUGCAGCAGAUGUUGGAGGCCUGUGGGUAAGAAAUCCCCAGCUCUGGAUGCACAAUUUCCAGGGUGUCCUGCCAGCACACAGCUAAAGGAGUCACUGGUGGGCCCAGAGCUGUCACACUCUGUCUCAAUAAAGACCCAGCUCCUUUCCUGGCUCCUCUCUCAUGCUGGUGCUGAGGUUUCCAGUGAAGCACAAGACUAACUGUGAGUCUGAAGUGAGUCUUGUGAUGGGAAACGUCGAUUGUCCACACCUUCUGCCUCCUGUUACUGUAAAGAUUAAGAAAAACUGAGUUGACAUCCACGUCUCCAGUAUGUUUAUUAAUACGGAAAGUAUGAAGUUUUUGGAGUCAGCCACUGCAAGAGCAAAACAUGGGAAAGCAAGUGUAAAA